rnacentral:rRNA from 1 species
GAUGAACGCUGGCGGCGUGCUUACCUCAUGCAAGUCAAACGAACCUUCGGGUUAGUGGCGGACGGGUGAGUAACGCGUGAAAAUCUGCCCUCAGGAGGGGGAUAACGGCUGGAAACGGCCGCUAAUACCCCAUAUGCCGAGAGGUGAAAUGAAUUUCGCCUGGGGAUGAGCUCGCGUCUGAUUAGCUAGUUGGUGGGGUAAAGGCUUACCAAGGCGACAAUCAGUAGCUGGUCUGAGAGGAUGAUCAGCCACACUGGGACUGAAACACGGCCCAAACUCCUACGGGAGGCAGCAGUGGGGAAUUUUCCGCAAUGGGCGAAAGCCUGACGGAGCAACGCCGCGUGAGGGAUGAAGGCCUCUGGGCUGUAAACCUCUUUUAUCAAGGAAAAAAAUCUGACGGUACUUGAUGAAUAAGCCACGGCUAAUUCCGUG